rnacentral:misc_RNA from 1 species
GAAAUGCGAUACUUGGUGUGAAUUGCAGAAUCCCGUGAACCAUCGAGUCUUUGAACGCAAGUUGCGCCCGAAGCCAUUAGGUUGAGGGCACGUCUGCCUGGGCGUCACACACAGCGUCGCUCCCCACCAACCUAGUUGGUGAAGAGCGGAGAUUGGCCCCCCGAGUCCUCCGGGCACGGUCGGCACAAAUAUUGGUCCCCGGCAGCGAGUGUCGCGGUCAGCGGUGGUUGUAUUCUUCCUCCAAAGACAAAAUGACGCGUACCUCGUUGCGUGCGGGAUCGAAACGACCCCCGAAAGCCGUUCGUGGCAUUCACCCUGCGACCCCAGGUCAGGCGGGAUUACCCGCUGAGUUUAA